rnacentral:rRNA from 1 species
AUUGAACGCUGGCGGCAUGCUUUACACAUGCAAGUCGAACGGUAACAGGUUAAGCUGACGAGUGGCGAACGGGUGAGUAAUGCAUCGGAACGUGCCCGAUCGUGGGGGAUAACACUUCGAAAGAAGUGCUAAUACCGCAUACGAUCUGAGGAUGAAAGCGGGGGACCGUAAGGCCUCGCGCGAUCGGAGCGGCCGAUGUCAGAUUAGGUAGUUGGUGGGGUAAAGGCUCACCAAGCCGACGAUCUGUAGCUGGUCUGAGAGGACGACCAGCCACACUGGGACUGAGACACGACCCAGACUCCUACGGGAGGCAGCAGUGGGGAAUUUUGGACAAUGGGCGCAAGCCUGAUCCAGCAAUGCCGCGUGCAGGAAGAAGGCCUUCGGGUUGUAAACUGCUUUUGUACGGAGCGAAAAGGCUCCCUCUAAUACAGGGGGCUCAUGACGGUACCGUAAGAAUAAGCACCGGCUAACUACGUGCCAGCCGCCGCGGUAAUAC